rnacentral:ncRNA from 1 species
GAAAAGGCAAAACACGCGAAAACGUGUGACGCAAAACCACCGGUCUAAGGAUUAAGUUAAUAUAUUUAACUUAAUCUAUGACAGCGGAGU